GAUAUGCAUAUUUUAUUGAGAAAACACUCUCCUUGCUGCUCAUUAGUCAACAGUAGUUUAUGGAGGGUAUGAGUGUCAGUGACAUACACUGCUCCAGAUUCCAAAUGCCUCAAAGACUGAGUAAACUCACAUUCAAGAGUUUGGGCAAUUUGAUGGUGUUUUUUUUAUGCUAAUCCAUCGGUAAAAUCAGACUGAAAAAAUUUAAGCAUCUUCCCUGACCGUGUGUCAUUUGGGAUGUUUCCCUGCAGGCAGAAAGGGGCUGGCAGAGCGCUGCAGGACCUGCUGCUGCCUUUAUUUAAGGGAAGGUUUGGCACAGAAAUACUCCCAACACUGGGUGCUGCGCUUCUUGCAAGCUUCCACAUGGUGGCACAGACGGUUCACUCUUCCAAACCUCUCCGCCGGGCUGCAGGAGGAAGAAAACCUGCAGUGGAAAAAGGAAGAUCGAUUUACAGAAGGAGAAAAUCACUGGGAAGUAAAAGUGGAGCUUCUAAGAUAUCUGACCAGCUCUUCUUAACUGACACUGAGUCAGUUCAAGAUUUACAUGUAUUUCUGAUUCCCAGAGAGCCUUAACAAGCACGGAUGUUUCUGGCACCUCUCCACAUCUGGGAUGUGUUGCACUUCCAGGGCAGGCUGUUCUGCCCAACACCUUGGUACCCAGAAGGAAUUACAACUCACCUGGACAUGUAUGCCAGCCUUCAUUCGUUUGGCUGGUGAGCUGAUGAAUUACAGCACGUAUCCACUUUUGUAGAGACAUACUGGUGCUUGGUAAAUCAAAAGGAAGUCCCUGGAUUUCCUCACUUUGCCCACCAUAAUGCACAAUAAAAAUUACACCCUUUGAACUUUCAUGGACGUAAGUUUGCCUCCAAAAAUCAGAAUGAAGAAACCCCUUGGAAGUGAUUUGCCUCUGGCUGCGCAGCCCCAGGAAGCGGGCUGCUCCUAUGCUGGCAUACUCAUCCCACGUGUUUGAGUAUUCCCCUGGCAUGCACUCAGAAAAUCUGAAGAAUCAAAGAAAAUAAUCCAUAAACUGUGAGCAGAGUGAAGAGCUUUGCCCAAUAAGGCUGGAGAAAGUUUCCACCAUGAAGAUAACCUGUUCAGCCUCCUCUGGUUCCUGAAGUGCCCUUGUGGAAAAGUGCUGCAAACAUUACUGUUUUCCUGCUGAGACUGAUGGAGUUGGAGACAGCAUCUGUGAAAUGAAAUUACAGCUCUCAAUGCUUUCUACUUCAUCUGGAGGAGAUUUCAAGAGAUUUCGUGUAACCACUUUUAGUAAUUUUUAAUCCACUUGCUACUGUGGAAAUUAAUUAAGAGAUUAUGAAAACAGCAGUGUUUAUGGGUGCUGGCUUGAGUCACACUUCCAGCAUGAGUUCAUGCUCAGACUACCUAACAAAGCCAAUGGGAGCAGAGCUCCACUGUGCCUUCUGAAACAAAGUACUCAGUAUUAAACAGUUGGAAGGUUUUAAUAACUAAGAGAACAGUAGGUGUGUAAUGGAGAUCUCCAGAGUUUCUGUGUACACAACUGAAAUGUCUGGAAUUACCAUUGUGGUGAAUGUCGUAAUUAGAGUUCGGACAACACUGUUUGGUUUGGAGUCGUCAUGACAGAGAGGCAAGUUGAAUCACCUCACUGUUCACAUUUUAUGACACAUUUAAUUCUCUUGGGGAGCACAUAUAUUUGAAAGGAAAGCUGGGUUCCAGCUGUUAAGAAAUGUAAAAUAAUCAUAGGUAGCUUUUUUCUAAACUGAGAUAAUCCAACAGAACAUAAUGCCUCACCCAUGGAGAGGAUGUUCACGUUAGUGGGCCAGAAGGGUCUCAGGGUGCUCUAUGGUCCAGUGCCUGACCUAAAGGACUGGCAGGUUGGUGCUAGACCUACCGCUGUGACAACUAAGUAUUUUCUGGUGGAAAUUCCACCAAUGAGAGAAGUCUGGAGAAUAUUGUUUUCGUCUGAUUUUAUACUGUGUAAUAACUAUGCCACA